UACAGUACAUGAGCCACGCGGGGAGACAGCAGCUGCUAUUAAAGCUCCGAGAACCAAAAGGCCACCGUUCACAUUUAUCGACCAAGACCAGCAGGCGGGUUGAGAAACUAAAGCCCUACCUAUCACAAUGUAUUGCCUGAAAAGUCUGCGGACGACCAACCCGGGAAUCUUGCAGCUGUUUAAAAAUGCAGUUAUCUCCACCAGACUUGGAGCUGACAUCUCCAGGAGUCAGCAACCUGUUCCUCUCUGGACGGCAACAAUUCAGUCCCACAGAGCCUUUCAUCCUCAUCAGAAAGGCCCUGAUGAGGACCAAGGACACUGCAAAAGCCGGCUCAUGUCCAGCAUAGAGGACCUGCUUUUUUACACCAUCACCGACGGGAAAGAGAUGAUCCCCAUCUCUCAGUUCAUCUCUGCUUUGAGAAGAACAGGUUUGUUAACGUCUGACCCUCGGCUGCGGGACUGUAUCCAUCAGAUGAGACAGUCUACGCUUGAUUCCAUGGGACCAGUCAUGAUGGACAAAAAACUUUUCAGAAGGUGUGUCGGCAACAACAUCAUGUUGCUGACAAAGGCUUUCAGAAAAAACUUCAUCAUCCCUGACUUUGAGGAUUUCACCCACCAGAUCAACAGGAUGUUUGAGAAUGCACAACAGCAAAGAGGAGGGCAUGUAGCCGAUUACAUUCCUCAGCUGGCUAAGUUCAGUCCGGAUCUUUGGGGCGUAUCUGUUUGCAGCACCGACGGUCAGAGAUACUCAGUGGGCGACACCAAGAUUCCCUUCUGCCUGCAGUCAUGUGUGAAGCCACUCGAGUACGCCAUCUCUGUGCAUGAGCAUGGCACUGAACACGUUCACCGCUUUGUGGGCAAGGAGCCCAGUGGCUUCAAGUUCAACAAACUGUCACUAAAUGAAGAAGAUAAACCACACAACCCCAUGGUGAAUGCUGGAGCUAUCGUCAUUAGUUCUUUGAUCAAGCCGCAUUCAAAUAAAGCGGAGAGGUUUGACUAUGUGAUGGAGUUCUUGAAAAGUAUGGCUGGUACAGAGUAUGUGGGAUUCAGCAAUGCGACUUUCCAGUCAGAGAGAGAGACUGGAGAUAGAAACUAUGCAAUUGGUUAUUACCUGAAAGAAAAAAAGUGCUUCCCUGACAGGGCAGAUAUGAUCGGAGCCCUUGACUUCUACUUCCAGUUGUGCUCCAUUGAGGUGACCUGUGAGUCUGGAAGUGUCAUGGCUGCCACACUGGCCAAUGGAGGCAUUUGUCCAAUCACGGGCGAUCGUGUGCUCAGUGCUGAAGCCGUUCGCAACACGUUGAGUCUGAUGCAUUCCUGCGGGAUGUACGACUUUUCUGGGCAAUUUGCUUUCCAUGUGGGGGUGCCUGCCAAAUCUGGCGUUUCAGGGGCUGUUCUGCUGGUGGUUCCCAACGUUAUGGGCAUGCUGUGUUGGUCCCCGCCGCUGGAUCGGCUCGGAAACAGCGUCAGAGGAAUUCACUUCUGUCAAGAGCUUGUUUCUUACUUCAACUUCCAUAAUUAUGACAACCUGAGGCAUUUCACCAAGAAACACGACCCGAGGAGACAGAUGGACGACGAUCCAAACAAGUCAGUUGUUAAUCUGAUGUUUGCAGCGUACAGCGGUGACGUCUGUGCUUUGAGGAGGUUCGCGCUGUCAGCUGUUGACAUGGAGCAGAGGGAUUAUGACUCUCGCACCGCUCUCCACAUCGCUGCUGCCGGAGGCCACGCGGACGCUGUAACGUUCCUGACACGAAUAUGUAAACUGAAUCCGUACAUUAAGGACAGAUGGGGCAACACACCCCUUGAUGACGCCAUGCAGUUUGGCCAUGAUGUUGUUGUUUCAGUCCUGCAAAAGUACCAACAUGAGUGCAAAGACUCGUCCAGCCGCACAGAGGAGCAGAACCCCGCUCUGGACACGAUGAAGAACUCUGUUUAAGAAAUAUUCAUGAAAGUUUGGAUUGAAACCUUCUGCUGCACAGCGGGAAAGAAUCACAGGACAGAAGGGCUGUGGUGUCCAGUGUCUGUCCUCAAGUGCAGGCGUCCCACAUGUUUCAGAUAUUUUCCUAUUUCAACACACCUGACUCAAAUGAACAGUUACCAGGAACCACGCAGUGCUUGAUGGCAGGCUGAAGAAGUUAUUUGUUCAUUUCGAAUAAGUUGCAGCAGGACAACAGGCCUCCAAGGACCAGAACUGGACACCGCUGUUAGAGGGCACUGCUGCAUCCUAGUGAAAGUCUAGAUGUGUAGAUGGUGAGAUGAUCAACAUGUGAAUGUGCUGCUGAUCUCCAGACCACCCCGACACUGCAGGAGAGCCAAUCAGAGAAGCAGAAAAUAGCACUAAGAUCUGUCUGGCAACUGCUAGGUGUAGCCGUGUCAUGAUUGCUUUCACACUGAAGGAGGUUUUCCUCAUUUGCAGCAAUCCAAGCAGCUUCUAACAGGUAAUUAAAAUCAUAGAGGGGAUUCAUCCAGUGUGAACAGGGCCUUAAUUAAAAUACUCUGGGGAUUAAACUUCAAUGUGUCAUUAGAGAUUUAUUUAAAAGGAGUCUGAAAGCUACUGGGGCUGUUCUGUUGGGAAAAUAAUAUGCACUUCAGUAUGCUCCCUACCAGCUGGGUUUUGUUUUGUUCUUUAUUGAUAUGCACAUGCUCACUAUGGUGUUUAGGAUUUAUAAAGACUGUAUAAACCUUCAUGUUAAUUUUUUAAUUUUUUUUUAUUAGGCAGUAAUAAUUGUGAGACUCAGGGCCAAUACUGCGGCUAAAGAUAAUUAAACCAACAAGUUGCAUUGAUAGCCAAGAUAUAUAGUUUCCUAUUAGGUUUUAAUGCCUAAAAAAAUAAGACCGCAUAUUUAUAUAUUUUUAAAUGUCCACCUUUAUAUAACAGUUUUUGAAUAAUUCAACUGACAAACCAAUAAAUUUAAGAAAAAGAUUUAAAAAGUUCAAUAACCUGGAAGCAUAAGAGUGCACACUUUUAAAAUAAUACUUUACUGAAACAACAGUACUGGAAUAUCGGUCAGCAAAUUUUAAAUUUACUUUUUUUUCUGGUUGAACCAUUCGAGUCGGCAUUCUCUCUUAUGUAGAGAGAUGCCAAAAAAUAAUGUCCUCUUUCAUUUUCAGCCAUUUAGCAGAAACCUUAAUGAGCUAAAACUGAGUAUUUGGAACAGCUUACAAUCUCCUCCAUCUUGAAAAAAAGCCUUGCUCCAUCAGAAGAAUUAUAAUCCCAGAGCAUCAUGCUGCCAACACCUUGUUCCACAUUUGAAACACUUUUUCCCGAGUUUUUCAGAAAUUUGGAAGGAAAAAUCUGGAUUCUGUUUAGCAAACUUAUUUUAUCAACUAAACUUACAGUAAAUAUAGCAGAUAUGCAGUUAUGCAACCAGGUUAUAAUACUCUUUAGCUUUGCUAUAUUUCUGCUUACAAAUUUGUUGGUCAAUUGAAUUGAUCUGAAAAUUGAAAAAUAGUUUCUAAAUAAUUUAUACUGGUCUUAUUCUUUUUAAUUUAAAACCUGUUUGUGUAUAUUUGAGAUCCAGUGCAUGCAGAGAUGCACCAAUCAAAAGACUGGAAUCAGUCGAUAUCUCCUUGAUCAUUAAAUCUAAAUAUGUUCAAUAUUUUUGUACUACAAACACAUCAUCUAACAGGAAACAGUUAGAUACAUUUUAGAAUUGAAUAUAAAUCAUAUAAAAAGUUAAAUAUCGACAUAUCGACUCCAGGUAUAAAUAGCAAUUGUUCCAUAGUUUCUUCAUGUUUGUUUGUGUUCAAAAUGGCUACCUUUAUGAAAUGUAAAAUGAUUUCCUGCAGGUUUUAUGUGUCAUACAAGAACUGAUCAGAAUAUGUUAAAUUCUGUUAAAUAUUUGACAAGAGGCAUCAAAGACAACCAAAAAAACGGAAUCGACCAGAAAAAGCCUGAUCGGUGCUUCUCCAUAAAAAUGUCUUACUAAAACUGACUUUUCAUGUUUUCAAUUUCAAGCUUCAUAACCUUUACAUUUCACUUGUCAUAAAACUUUAAAUAUUCAAUGAUUUAUUUUUCCCAAUACCAUCAGUUAAUUCUGUUGCGAUGUCAACAUGUUAAGCUAGUAGUUGGUGUAUCCUGACUGUAUUUUUUGUUUAAGUUUAAAUUUAUCAUCAUUACUUACAAUCUACAAGUUUGGAAACAUGAGUAAAGUGAAUAGAGUUUCUCAAAAUAAGGUUUAAACAUGUUUUUACUUUUAAGGAAAAUAUCAAACAUGUAAAUUUAAAAUAAGAUAAAAAUGUAAUAUACUCAACUAUCAUAUCUAAAAGUGUUUUUUUUCUAAGUUUAGGUUUUACACUCAGCAAAACUUCUGUACAAAUCUUCAGUUCACUGUAAAUAGUUACCUGUAAAUAAAAAGAAAAAUGU